AACCAACAGGGAUUGCCCCAGUAACGGCGAGUGAAGCGGCAACAGCUCAAAUUUGAAAUCUGGCUUCGGCCCGAGUUGUAAUUUGUAGAGGAUGCUUUUGGUGCGGUGCCUUCUGAGUUCCCUGGAACGGGACGCCAGAGAGGGUGAGAGCCCCGUAUAGUUGGACACCAAGCCUUUGUAAAGCUCCUUCGACGAGUCGAGUAGUUUGGGAAUGCUGCUCUAAAUGGGAGGUAUAUCUCUUCUAAAGCUAAAUAUAGGCCAGAGACCGAUAGCGCACAAGUAGAGUGAUCGAAAGAUGAAAAGCACUUUGAAAAGAGGGUUAAAUAGUACGUGAAAUUGUUGAAAGGGAAGGGCUUAUGACCAGACUUGUGCCGGGCUGAUCAUCCACGGUUCUCCGUGGUGCACUCUGCCCGGCUCAGGCCAGCGUCGGUUCUGGCAGGGGGACAAAAGCUUAGGGAACGUGGCUCCUCCGGGAGUGUUAUAGCCCUUUGCUCAAUACCCUUGCCGGGACCGAGGUUCGCGCUCUGCAAGGACGCUGGCAUAAUGGUCAUCAGCCACCCGUCUUGAAACACGGACCAAGGAGUCGAGGUUUUGCGCGAGUGUUUGGGUGUAAAACCCGCACGCGUAAUGAAAGUGAACGUAGGUGAGAGCUUCGGCGCAUCAUCGACCGAUCCUGAUGUAUUCGGAUGGAUUUGAGUAAGAGCGUAAAGCCUCGGACCCGAAAGAUGGUGAACUAUGCCUGAAUAGGGUGAAGCCAGAGGAAACUCUGGUGGAGGCUCGCAGCGGUUCUGACGUGCAAAUCGAUCGUCAAAUU
rnacentral:rRNA from 1 species